GUGUUCACUUAGGCAGCACAUAUACUACAAGUGGAAAGACACAGAGAUUAGCAUGACCCCUAUGAAAAGACGACGUGCAAGUUUGUGAAGGAGUCUAUAUUUUU